GCUACAGCGAGGCUAAGCUAGUGGGAGCAAAGUUUCAGUGCAUUCUGUUGAUGUAGACGGCGUAAAAACGGAAACAAGAAGUAUGCCGUCUCACUGUGCUGCAUACAAUUACACACUACGUCGUACGAUUGAGACAAGGAAACUUGGAAUGACUUUUCAUAGGUUUCCCAGAGACUAUGGGUUGAGGAGGAAUUGGAAGUUUGUCGGCUUAGACCUGGUGUCAUUCCAUCAGUGUUUAACUUCCCGGCUCAUCUUGGAAGAGUACGUGCCAGAAAGACUACAACCAAGCAGCCUUGAGAUCUUAGGCAGCGUCUCCCUGAGCUUCAGCUCCAGAGACGGCAGGCGGGACGAGUCAACGGAGGCCUGGUGGACGAAGGCAUGCAGCUGAGUACAAUCCAGAAAACAACAGAGGAGGAGUGCAGGGCCAGAACACACAGAGUAGCAUCGUAUGUCUCUUAGAAAACAUCAUAGUAUAGCCUUUGCUAUGAAAAAACGCCAUCAUAUACAUUGUAUAUUGUACAAAUAACAAGUCAAAGGAAAGAGACAUACAUUGUAGAAUUGUAGUAAUUGUGGGCUGACUGAUUUACUGAUUAUCAGUAUUUUAUUUUUUACUGAUUUACGGUAAUAAAUCAAUUUAAAAAUGGUGCUACUUUGGCUCUGAGCCUUUAUCUACCUGUGGUCGCUCUGUCUUCUGGAGUGAUUUGAUUGGUUAUACGUAACGAAUAAAACUCCUUUAACUUAACAUCUGUAAACAAAACGAAAACGUAUCAACAAAGUUUUCUGUUAGAGUUUGUGUUCUAAGUUUAACUCAAGAUUUUAAAUACUUUCAUUUACUGCAAACGAAUAUCUACUCCAAAUGUCUCACUAAUAAUCAUUAUCAGCCUUAAAAACCCACAAAACACCCCUCUAUACUCGACCACACUUAGUACAGUCCGGUUCCCCCUUCUAUAAAUCUGCUUGGAAUCUUCCACUUCCUGUUUGUCAAAGUGGCCUUCUACCUGGACAGGUUUUGUUGGAGCUCAUGCAACAAACAUUUUGGGUAACUGCACUUUAAUAUGGAUGGAUGACACUGAAUUAGAGUCUGUUUUAAUGAGACUGAGUUCAGAUGUGUAGCUCUGUCAUUAAGUAGUAAAUUAUUUCUCAGAAUUCACAGAGAAAAGUCUGAAAUGUUUGCUAGGUUAGUGUCCCACAUGUUCUUUGGCUCAGCUAAAGCUAACUCUCUCCAACUUCUGGAUCUCUUGAGUUGCUUGUUGUUAAAAUAUCUUGCUAGAGGUGCUGAACCUCAGAAAGUCUGAGAUGUUUGUUCAAAAUAAGCUCAUUCUCAAGUCUUAUCUGAACUGUCCUCUUUUGUUUGAACUUUCCCUAAACUUAGG
ensembl:lncRNA